rnacentral:rRNA from 1 species
CAGCAGCCACGGUAAUACGGAGGGUGCGAGCGUUAAUCGGAAUAACUGGGCGUAAAGGGCACGCAGGCGGUGACUUAAGUGAGGUGUGAAAGCCCCGGGCUUAACCUGGGAAUUGCAUUUCAUACUGGGUCGCUAGAGUACUUUAGGGAGGGGUAGAAUUCCACGUGUAGCGGUGAAAUGCGUAGAGAUGUGGAGGAAUACCGAAGGCGAAGGCAGCCCCUUGGGAAUGUACUGACGCUCAUGUGCGAAAGCGUGGGGAGCAAACAGGAUUAGAUACCCCCGUAGUCCCUGUCUCUUAUAC